rnacentral:rRNA from 1 species
AGAGUUUGAUCAUGGCUCAGGACGAACGCUGGCGGCGUGCUUAACACAUGCAAGUCGAACGGAAAGGCCCUGCUUUUGUGGGGUGCUCGAGUGGCGAACGGGUGAGUAACACGUGAGUAACCUGCCCUUGACUUUGGGAUAACUUCAGGAAACUGGGGCUAAUACCGGAUAGGAGCUCCUGCUGCAUGGUGGGGGUUGGAAAGUUUCGGCGGUUGGGGAUGGACUCGCGGCUUAUCAGCUUGUUGGUGGGGUAGUGGCUUACCAAGGCUUUGACGGGUAGCCGGCCUGAGAGGGUGACCGGCCACAUUGGGACUGAGAUACGGCCCAGACUCCUACGGGAGGCAGCAGUGGGGAAUAUUGCACAAUGGGCGGAAGCCUGAUGCAGCAACGCCGCGUGCGGGAUGACGGCCUUCGGGUUGUAAACCGCUUUCGCUUGUGACGAAGCGUGAGUGACGGUAAUGGGUAAAGAAGCACCGGCUAACUACGUGCCAGCAGCCGCGGUGAUACGUAGGGUGCGAGCGUUGUCCGGAUUUAUUGGGCGUAAAGGGCUCGUAGGUGGUUGAUCGCGUCGGAAGUGUAAUCUUGGGGCUUAACCCUGAGCGUGCUUUCGAUACGGGUUGACUUGAGGAAGGUAGGGGAGAAUGGAAUUCCUGGUGGAGCGGUGGAAUGCGCAGAUAUCAGGAGGAACACCAGUGGCGAAGGCGGUUCUCUGGGCCUUUCCUGACGCUGAGGAGCGAAAGCGUGGGGAGCGAACAGGCUUAGAUACCCUGGUAGUCCACGCUGUAAACGGUGGGUACUAGGUGUGGGGUCCAUUCCACGGGUUCCGUGCCGUAGCUAACGCUUUAAGUACCCCGCCUGGGGAGUACGGCCGCAAGGCUAAACUCAAAUGAAUUGACGGGG